GUAGGACUACCCGCUGAACUUAAGCAUAUCAAUAAGCGGAGGAAAAGAAACUAACAAGGAUUCCCCUAGUAACUGCGAGUGAAGCGGGAAAAGCUCAAAUUUAAAAGCCCUCGGGCGUUGUAAUCUAUAGAAGGGUGUUCUGUCGUUGCCUUGGUUAAGUCUCUUGGAACAGAGUGUCAUAGAGGGUGAGAAUCCCGUCUUUACCAAGCUCCCAACGUCAAUACGACGCCCUUUCGAAGAGUCGAGUUGUUUGGGAAUGCAGCUCAAAAUGGGUGGUAAACUCCAUCUAAAGCUAAAUAUUGGCGAGAGACCGAUAGCGAACAAGUACCGUGAGGGAAAGAUGAAAGGCACUUUGGAAAGAGAGUUAAACAGUACGUGAAAUUGUUGAAAGGGAAGCGCUUGAAGUCAGUCGCGUUGUGUAGACUCAGCCUCACGGUGUAUUUCUACUCAACGGGUCAACAUCAGUUUGGGGCGCGGGAUAAGGAUUUGGGGAAUGUGGCAGCUUGCUGUGUUAUAGCCCUUUGUCGUACACCGCGCCCUGGACUGAGGUCUGCUUACAGGAUGUUGACAUAAUGGCUCUAAGCGACCCGUCUUGAAACACGGACC
rnacentral:rRNA from 1 species